AUGUCUAGAAAGUUGUGGCAAUUUUGAUGCCUUACAAAGUGCAGGGAAUAGUCUGGCAGGACACACAGCAAACUCCCUCUCAGUUUAGAGAACUAUCCUAAGAAUAGGACUGGCUCUUAAAGGCACAAGAGGACAAU
rnacentral:snoRNA from 1 species